CACCAGCCCCUCGAGUGGUGGGGAUGAUUAUUUGGCCUAAAGCGUCCGUAGCCGGCCGGGUAAGUUUCCCGUUAAAUCCAGCGUCUCAAGCGUUGGACUGCGGGAAAUACUGCCUGGCUAGAGAGUGGGAGAGGUCAGUGGUAUUCUGGGGGUAGGGGCGAAAUCCUUUGAUCCCCGGAGGACCACCAGUGGCGAAGGCUGCUGACUAGAACACGUCUGACGGUCAGGGACGAAAGCUGGGGUAGCGAACCGGAUUAGAUACCCGGGUAGUCCCAGCCGUAAACGAUGCAUGCUAGGUGUUGGGUUGGCCACGAGCCACCCCAGUGCCGCAGGGAAGCCGUUAAGCAUGCCGCCUGGGAAGUACGAUCGCAAGAUUGAAACUUAAAGGAAUUGGCGGGGAGCACCACCAGGCGUGAAGCCUGCGGUUU
rnacentral:rRNA from 1 species